AUUAGGAUUUGGAUUAGGGUUUGGCUUGGGUUCAUUUUAGGGUUUGGAUUAGGGUUUGGAUUAGGGUUUGGAUUAGGGUUUAGGAUUUGGUUAGGAUUUGAUUUAGGAUUUGGAUUAGGAUUUGGUUUAGGAUUUAGGAUUUGCAUUAGAGUUUAGGGUUGGAUUAGGGUUUGGAUUAGGAUUUGGAUUAGGAUUUAGGAUUUGGUUAGGAUUUGAUUUAGGGUUUGGAUUAGAGUUUGAUUUAAGGUUUAGUUUAGGGUUUAGAAUUUAGAUUAGAGUUUAGGAUUGGAUUAAGAUUUGGAUUAGGAUAUGGAUUAGGGUUUAGAGUUUGGUUAGGGUUUGAUUUAGGGUUUGGUUUAGGGUUUAGGGUUGGAUUAGAAUUUAGUUUAGGGUUUGAUUUAGGAUUUGGUUUAGGGUUUAGGAUUUGGAAUUGGGUUUAAUUUAAGAUUUGUUUAGGAUUUGACUUAGGGUUUAGGAAUUAUUAGGGUUUAAGAUUUAAUUAGGUUUGGUCUAAAGUUGAGUGAAAUUCAAUAGGAUUUUAACUAGAAUUAAAUUAAGGUUGAAUUGACAUAUAUUUGAGUAAAAUUUGUGAUCAUUCUAAUAUUUCUUUAAGAAUUUUAUUGUUUGUUUGAAAUUUCUUUGAGUUGUUUUGAAUUGGAUUACGUUUGUUUACCAUUAUUAUAAUCUAAUUAGAGCAUUGUUAGUAUUCUAUUUAGGAUUUUGUUAUCGCAAUUUCUAUUCUUCUUUCUACAACCAGGUGCUCGGAGCAUUCUCAAGCAAGACUUCACACAUUACGACAUAUUUGGUGAAUCUGACGUGAAACGCUUAAGGUAGAAGGAAUUUAUUAUUAUUUUUUUUUAUUUAUUUGAAUUUUGGAGAAGGAAUUAAAGGAGAAUGGAAGGAGGCAAUUUGGAUAGUGCUUCAAGUGGAGUUGGAAGAAGAGCUUCAUUUGGAGGACAAGGUAUGCAUUUUGAUCCUAACUCCAUAAGCAUAUUUAAAGCUUUGACCUUAUUCAUACAACAACAAGAGCAAGAGGUUAAAGAUCGUAAAGAGAGUAUGGCUAACAAAGCAUUACAAGCGGUCGUGGACAAGAUCGAUCAAUUUGAAGAAAAGGAUAUUACAAAAUAUUUAAGAUGUUAUGUAAAGGAAAUGAAAUUGAAGCGUAUUUCAGAAAGUGAGAUGGUUCAAUUAUUUGAAUUAGCCUCUACACGAGAGAUAAAAAAUCAAGUUAAGUUUCUUAUUCAACACUUUGGAGGUUCAUGGGAGAAAUUUUUUCAAGCUUUGAAGGAUGAGUUUUUCUUAGAAGAUAGUGAUAGGGUUACAAAAAGGUCUUUUUUUGAAUGGAUUGAAAAGCCAAAGAAGGAUCUUCUAGCAAUAGAAUUAUUAAGGGAGUUUGAAAAGCAAUAUUCUUCUUUAUCAAAGAAAGAAAGACAGUUAUUGGAUCCAAGUAAGGUGGAGUUCUUUCUUCAAGUAGCUGAUGGAAAGUUGCAAGAGAAGUUGGAAUUCAUGCUUGAAGAUAAAAAAGAAGAUGAAGGAUUGACAACAAAUUGAGAAAGGAUAGAGGAUGCUAUAAGGACGAUGACAAAAAGAGAAAAGAGAAAAGAUAUGGGGGGUGAUCAAAGACCAUUACAGCCAUCUAAGAUAAAAGUGUCUAGUAUCCAUCCGACAUCUUUAAUUCAAUCUUCAAUGGCUACAUCAAAGAAAGAAGAAACAGGAAUUGAUGAAAUCAUACGUGGAAUGAGAGAUUUAAAAAUAAAAUUUAUAAAACUUGAAGAGAAAGGUCAAUCAUCAAGAAUAUCAACAAAACAAAGACCAAAGCCAAUGGAGGGUGUAGUACAUAGAUGCAUGUGGUGUGACAGCAUAGAUCACUCGAGGAGGGAAUGCGAAGAAUUUACAGAGGCAUUAUGUAAAAGAGUUAUUUUUUUUAAAGAUGGUAUGAUACACUCAAAAGAAAAAGGAGAAAAAUUGAAAAUAAAUUUUGGUAAAGGAGGAAUGAAGUUAUUUAUUGGAGAUACUUUUAAAGUGCAGAUAAUCUCAAGCAAUGAAGCAUCAACAUAUUGGGUGGAAGCAGAUCCUAGUAGAUGUUUAAGUAUAAACCUUGAGUUUCCAAUAGAAUCUAGUUCUUUGUGGACAAGUGCAAUGAAGUAUACUGAAAGGGUAAAUUUUAUAAGCGAUGAUUUGAAAUGGAUUGGUAAUAACAUUCGAUAAAUUACUGAGUCGAAUGAUCCAGUAGAUAGACUAUCUGUACAUGCUCAUAUUGCAAGGAGUCAACAUGAAGCAUUAAUAGAAGAAAAACGAAGGAGAGAUGAAAAUAAUGAAGGGCCCUCAAAAAGAAUUACGAGGGGAGAAAAAGCACGACAACAAAAGAAUUCUAUACAUGAAGAGACAAUGGAGAGCAUUUCUACAUAAGAGAGGGAAAUUAGAAAAGAAAAAGCAAAGGCUCUUGCUUAUAAAUUACAAUCAGAUAUUGAAGCAGCUACAGAUUUGAAGAAGGUAUUGGAGGAGCGGAUUUUAAGUGGAAAGGUUGAAUUCACAAUUGGUGAAAUUCUAGGAAUUACAAAGCGUGAGUUUCAUGAAGUUAUUAUUGAUACAAUAAAGAGAAAACGACAAUCUAUAGGAGACUCUAUGACAUCAAAUGCACAAGGAACAAGAGCAAUGGAAAGAAAUAAAGAUGAAGAAGAUGAAAUACAAAAUUUUAGAGAUGUCUUGCGAGUAAGGUUUGCAGAAAAAGAAGAUGUCAUUCAAGCUUCUAGCCAUUAUUCUAGAAGUCAUUAGGCAAGAGCUACAACGGAGUCUUUAAUAAAAUUGGAAAAUUUAGAAGAACCAGUUGUAGCAUUAAUUAAUCAUGGUUCUAAAAUCAAUUUAAUGUCAAAGAAAUUAUAUAAUAUGGAAAAAUGGCCUAUUGAUACUGAAUAUGGGUGGAUGAUAAGAGCUGCAAAUAAUUCAAAGGGAGAUUUGUAUGGAGCAUGUCCAAAUAUCAAAGUGAUAAUUAGAGAUGUUAUUCAUGAAUAAAAUUUCUUUGUGCAAGAUAUGUCUACAUAUCCUAUUAUAUUGGGACAACCAUAUAUUAUUUCCACACGAAUGGAAACAAAAGUAAUGGAUGAUGGUUCAGCUUAUGCAAGAAUAAGAAGCCAAGAUGGGAUGAAAGCAAUUCAAUUUUUAACUGUUUGUGCUAAUCAUGAGAGAAAUCGUGAUAAGUUGAGAGAGAAACCAAUAUCAAAUGAGAAAUUUGAAGAUCUUGAGGAUUUUUACCACACACCAUUAUAAGGCGGGGUUGCAAUGGAUUAGAGAAAGAAAUGCUCCUGCUUAAUUUAGAAAAAGAAUUGUUAUCUACCAAACUUAUUGGAAUGAUACAAGAUUGUGUAUUGACUUUUAAGACUAUUGACAAAAUAGAAAAGAGGGACAGAUGUUAUAUUAAAAAUAUAGAAAAAAAUUUGAAAAAAAAUGGAGAAUUGGUUGAAAAUGAAUUUAUUUCAGGAACAUAUGAAGAAGUAGGUUUUGCAGAUACUAUGGGGGAAUUAAAUUAUCUAUUACAAUGUCGGUUACAAGUAGAAAAUAGAGUUAUUAAUGUGUGUUCUAAAGAAUUUUAUGAUGAAAUACAAGGAUUUAAAGAAAAUUUAAGUCGCCAAGAGGUAUAUAUUGAAAUUAAGUAUAAAUCAGUAGCAAAGAAGGUCAAACCAGUGGCUUUGCCACUACCAUGUGAUUGUGAAGAAAUGAUAAGUGGAGCAUCAAUACAACCAAAUCUAAGAGAUCUAAGGAAAAUAGGGCAUAAAUUUACGGAUGUUACAUUAGAUGGAUUAAAUGUUAGAGGUGAUGGAUUUUUGACAAAAUGUGAAGAAAAAUGUUUUAGGGAUAUGCUUUCACAUCAUGGAAAAGCUUUUGUAUUUGAAGCACAUGAAAUUAGAUGUGUUGAUCCAAAUAUUGUAGCACCCAUGGUUAUUUUUACUAUUCCUCAUGAACCAUGGAAUUUGCGACCAAUUCCAGUACCAAGAGCGCAUUUAUCUAAGUUAGUAGAUUUACUCAAUGAAAAGAUUAAAAUAGGAAUUUUGAAACCAUCUAUAGUACCUUAUUCUUAUCGAUGGUUUACAAUGCCAAAGAAAAAUGGAACAAUGAGAUUUAUACAAGGUAUGCAACCCAUAAAUAAAGUGACUAUUAGAAAUAUGGGUUCAAGUCCAAUUGUGGAUGAAUUUACAGAAGCAUUUGCUGGAAGAGCUAUCUACUCAAUGGGUGAUCUUUAUUCAGGUUAGGAUCAAUUCCAAUUGGCAAUACAAAGUAGGGAUUUGACAACUAUGAAGACACCGUUAAGAUUGGUUAGAAUGUGCACAUUACCACAAGAGACUACAAAUUCUGUAGCACAUAUGAUGAAUGGGAUGCAUAAGGUAUUAAGAGAUUAUAUUCUAAGAAUAACAAUGCCUUUCUUGGAUGAUGUACCUAUUAAAGGAUGUGAAGAAGAAAGAAAGGAUGAAACUUUAGAUUCAAAGGGAUGUAAGAGGUUUGUGGCAGAUCAUAUUGAAGAUUGUGAGAAGAUUUUGAAAAGAUUGGAAGAAGUUCAUUUAACCUUAUCGGGGACAAAAUCAAUGUUUGGAAUAAAAGAAAUUUUGGUGGUAGAACACAUAUGUGGUUCAUAUAGACGUAAGCCAACUAUAGAAAAGAUUGAUAUUAUUAAAAAGAUGAAAGAAUGUACAAAUACAACGAAAGUGAGAAGAUUUUUAGGAGCAUGUAUUUUCUAUCAUAUAUGGAUACUUCACUUUGCACAUAUAGCAAAUCCAUUAUAUAAGUUAUUAAGAAAGAAUCAAAAAUUUCAAUGAAAAGAAGAACAACAGAAAGCUAUGGAAAAAUUGAAAGAACUUCUUUCUUCAUCUCCAACUUUGAAGAAAGUAAAUUAUGAAGGUGGAAGGCUAGUGGUAUUAACAGUUGAUGCAAGUCCAAUUGAAAUAGGUUAGGCGGUUGGGCAAGAUGAUGAACAAGAAAAUAGAUAUGUAGUAAGAUUUGGAGCAGAGGUAUUGAAUUCUAGGCAAAGGGCAUAUGCGCAAAUCAAAAGAGAAUUAUGGGGUAUAAUAAUAGCUAUGAAAAAUGAAAAAGAGUACCUGAUUGGAGCAUCAGUAGUUACAGAAACAGAUUGUCUACCUUUGUUAGGCAUGAUUACAAGUUGUUCAACUCCUGAUAUUGCUAUGUUGAGGUGGAUAGCAUAUAUCAAAUCUAUGAAUUCUGAAUUUAAACAUAUUGCAAGGAAAGAAAAUUCAGUUGUAGAUAUGUUAUCGAGAGCAAGGUAUAAUGAUGAAGAAAAGAUGAUUGAUUUAGAAGAUGAUGUGGGUACAAAAUUUUAUACCAAUGCAUUAUCAAAGGAAAAGGGUGUAUAUUUUAAUAUACCAUUAGAAGCAUUUUUAAGAGAUUUAUAUGAAAAUGAAUGGAAAGAUAUUGGAGAGUAUUUGAGCACAUUAAAACGACAAAAAAUUUAGAUAGAUCAAGAAUUUAAGAAAAUUCGUAAGAAAGCCUAUGGAUAUUUUUUACAUGAUAGAUAUUUAUAGAAGCAUCAAAAACAAAGGAUACUAAAGAUAUAUGUCAAUUUCUAUUAGAAGAAGUUAUUUGUCGCUAUGGUUGUAUUGGAAAAAUUAUGGCAGAUAGAGGUGAAUUGGAUGCAAAGGAAGCAUGAGAAUUUCUUAAUAGGAUACAAAUUAAACUUUCUUUAACUGUUAGGGACAUAGUCCUUAGAACCUUCUAGAGACAAGUUUCUAGAACCUUCUAGAGACAAGCUUCUAGAACCUUCUAGAAGCAAGUCUCUGGAACCUUCUAGAAGCUUCUUAGUUAGUAGAAGAUGUUAGGAACAUAGUCCUUAGAACCUUCUAGAGAUAAGUUUCUAGAACAUUCUAGAAGCAAGUCUCAAGAACCUUCUAGAAGCUUCCUAGUUGGUAGAAGUUGCUUGAGAAGCUUCCUAAAUAGGAGUAUAUAUUGGAAUCGAGGCUGAAGAGUUCUUCAGUCUCGACAACACAUCUCUUGGAGCUCUAGCUCACGUCUCUGGUGUUGUUCUUGUAUUUAUCUGAUUAAUCUAGUUCUUGCCAGUUCUUCUUGAACUUCUUGGUAGAUAUCAAGUCUGUAUUCUGUGUCCGUGACAUUUUGUCAAGACUUCACUCACCUCAGAUAUCAAAGCUAGUUUCUUCUUUGUUAGAGUGUGGAUUACCCCUCUGCUUGGAAGUGUACUAGCAUUUUAGAGGUUGCGGAUUACCCUCCUCUAAACUGAUACUUCUUUUGUUACAAUAUUGGAGUCUUAUUCUUCUUGGAGAGAGUGGAUUACCUCUUUUCUUGAAGCUCUUAAGGUAUUUUAGAGGUUGCAGAGUACCUUCCUCUAAACCAAUAUUGUCUUCUUGUAGAAUCAUUCUUGUUCUUCUCUUAGAAUGGUCAGGGGCCAAGACAUUAGUAUGACGGAAAGUUCAGAGUCCAAGUUAGAUGCUAUCUUGAAUGCCCUUGCUAAGUUAUCACAAAGAACUGCAGAGAUUGAAGGAGUCGUGGCAAGGCUUCAUAAUGAUGGAGCAUCUGGGAUGGCACAAUCUAGGUUGCACCAGCCUCAAACUUCUACACUUGGAGAAGCAACUUUACCUCAGGUUCGACAAGCACCGUUGGUUCUACAACAUAAGGAACCCCGAGUUAGCCUUCCGGACAAGUUCGAUUGUACACGUUCCAAGUUUCGAGGAUUCAUCAACCAAAUCAAGUUGAUAACAGUUUUACAGCCCGAACGCUAUCCAACGGAGGAGUCACGUGUUGGGCUUGUUGGAGCCUUAUUUACAGGACAAGCUCUAUCAUGGUUUGUUCCUUUGUUUGAGAAACGAUUGUCCAUACUAAAGAACUUUGAAACCUUUUUGGAGGCAUUUGCGGAAGCAUUUGGUGAACACCACAAGGUUCAAUGGGCUACAACAAAGAUCCGGUCACUACGACAAGGGAUGCGUUCUACAUCAGUCUAUGCAUCGGACUUCAAGCAAUUAGCAUGCGACAUGAAUUGGGACAAAGAAGCAUUGAUGAGUCAAUUCUAUUGGGGUUUAAGGGACGAUGUGAAGGAUUUGCUGUUAACUCUUCCUUAUCCGCAAACACUCAACGAAGCUAUUAGCCAAGCUGUGAAGUGCGAUAACCGCCUAUUCCAACGUCGCCAAGACCAACGUUCAAGACAACAUACGGUUUGCGACACUCCAACUAUGUCAACAAGUAGCGUGAAUUCACAUUCAGUGGUAGAAGACAUGCAAAUUGAUGCGGUACGUGUCAAAUCUCUUACUCUAGAAGAAAAAAAGCGACGUAUGGAGGAAGGUCUAUGCUUGUAUUGCGGUGAAGAAGGCCACAAAGUUGAAAACUGCCCCAAGAAGUAAAAUCGACGUAUUAUUAAGACUAGGGGUGCGUUUAUUCAGGAAAAUGAAGAUGCCCAGCCACAAUAGGAACCGUGCGGUUGGAUAGUGAAAUAUCGCAACAACAACCAAGUUCCUUUCUUUCCGCUCAACCUGCCCUUUAUUUUAUAAUCUCUUUGCUUAUUGGCCCUCAGAAAUUGAGAACCUUAGCAUUAUUAGAUUCAGAAGCAUCUUCUUGUUUCUUAGACGAAGAAUUCGCAAGUUGUCAUAACAUCCCUUUAGUACAAAAAUCCAAACCUGUUCACAUUGAGGUCAUAGAUGGACGACCUUUUUUGUCUGGUAGUGUCACCCAUGAAUCAGAACCUAUAGAAGUGAAGUUUAAGGACCAUAGUAGUCAUAUUAUUUUCAAUAUUAUUAGAACCCCAUCAAAUCUUGUUAUUCUUGGUCUUUCUUGGUUGGAAAAGCAUAAUCCAUCCAUAGAUUGGAAGUUGUGGAAGAUGACCUUUUCCAUAAAACCACCCAAGAGCAAGCGUAGUAGAAAACCCCGAAUAGAGAAAUCCUUAUUCAUUGGAGCAAGAGCGUUUAUAAGAUUGUCUAAGGGAGGCACACCAUUUGUCAUUUAUGCUGCUCCAACUACCGGGGAGAAGAUCUCGACAGCAAGUAUACCAGAGCAAUAUAAGGAUUUUAAAGACGUGUUUCAAAAGAAAAAUGCCGACAUGCUACCGAAACACAGACCAUAUGAUUGCGCCAUAGACUUACAGGAAGGAGUACAACCGCCUUUUGGCCCAAUCUAAAAUCUAUCACAGAUGGAGUUGGUCGAGUUGCGGAAGUACAUCGAUAAGAAUCUAGCCAAGAACUUCAUCCGUCAUUCAAAAUCAUCAGCUGGAGCACCCAUCUUAUUUGUGAAGAAGAAAGAUGGCUCGUUGCGGAUGUGCGUGGACUAUCGAGGCCUCAACAAGGUAACAAAGAAGAAUCGUUACCCAUUACCCUUGAUUUCUAGUCUCUUAGAACAACUUAGACAUGCAAGGAUCUUUAGAAAAAUUGAUCUAAGGGGAGCUUACAACCUCAUUCAAAUCAAGGAAGGAGAUGAGUGGAAGACAGCGUUCCGUACAAGGUAUGGCUAUUUUGAAUAUUAUGUCAUGUCCUUUGGUCUUACCAAUGCUCCAGCGGUCUUUCAAUAUAUGAUGAAUGACAUUUUUUGAGAGUACCUUGACGAUUUUGUUGUCAUCUAUUUGGAUGAUAUUUUGAUAUUCUCCAAAAAUGAGGAAGAGCAUGAAAAACACGUUCGUUUGGUAUUGGAGAAACUACCCGAGCGAGGACUAUAUGCUAAGUUGGAGAAGUGUUUAUUUCAUCAAAUAGAGAUGGAGUUUUUGGGAUUUGUUGUGACUACGAAAGGCUUGAAGAUGGACCCCAAGAAGGUGGAAGCAAUUGUGUCUUGGGAGGUUCCGAAGACGAUUAGAGACGUACAAUGCUUUCUUGAUUUUGCCAACUUCUAUCAAAUCUUUAUCAAGAAUUACUCUCAAUUUGCUGCUCCUCUCACUCGGUUGACAUGCAAGGAUAAGCUGGAAUGGGGACCUCUAGCAGAGAAGGCAUUUCAAAACCUGAAGACCACAUUUACUACAGCUCCAAUCUUGGUACAUCCAGACUUUACAAAGGCCUUUUAUUUAGAAAUUGAUGCUUCGGAUUUUACUUUAGGAGCUGUACUUUCACAAAUGGGAGAAGAUAAGAAGCUCCAUUUGGUUGCAUUCUAUUCUCGAAAGUUCUCUGCUGCUGAAAUCAAUUAUGAGAUCCACGAUAAGGAACUUCUUGCUACAGUGGAUUCUUUUCAAGAAUGGCGUCACUUUCUUAAAGAAGCUGCACAUCCAGUGACCGUAUACACAGAUCACAAGAAUUAUGAGUAUUUCAUAUCGGCUCGAGUUCUAAAUCGAUGUCAAGCUCAGUGGAGUAUGCUGCUAUCAAGAUUUGAUUUUGUUAUUACAUAUCCACCUAGAGAGCAGCAAGGCCUAUCUGAUGCCUUAUCGAGGAGAUCAUAUCUUGUACCAAAGGCUAGAGAAUCAACAAUGCAUGAUAUUGUUGAAGCUAGAGUAAUUUCAGCUUUGCGCUACUAUUAUGCGAAUUGAUGUUGACUUCCUGAAUCAGGUACGUGCCGUAACCAUUGAAGAUUCAAUAGCCAUUGAUAUUAAGCAGCGUGCCAAUGACGACAAGUUCAAGGUGGAGGGAGAUCUUUUAUACUUUGAAGAGCGGUUAUAUAUCCCAAAAGGACCAGCACAACUCCUAGUUCUUCAAUCUCGCCACGAUUUUGUAGCUGCGGGACAUUUUGGAUUCAACAAGACCUUGGAGCUUAUUUCUCGAGAUUUUUGGUGGCUCCAAAUGUAGAAGGAUGUGAAAGAUUUUUUCUUCUCCUGCGACAUCUGUUCAAGAUCCAAGAAUCCUUAGCAUCGCCCUUAUGAACUCCUACAGCCAUUGCCGAUUCCACAUCGACUAUGAUCUUCAAUUUCCAUGGACUUCAUCACGGACCUGCCAUCAUUGAAGUCAUUUGACAGCAUCUUUGUCGUGGUAGAUCGACUCACAAAAAUGGCACACUUUGUUCUUUGCAAGAAGACAUCGUCCAUUGAAGUCACAACAAGGCUCUUUCUCGAUAAUGUGUAUCGAUAUCAUGGACUAUCAGAUAAUAUCGUAUCAGAUCGAGGAACCCAGUUCGUAUCGAAGUUUUGGAGAUCUCUCUUUGAGAUAUUGAAGGUGGAUAUCAAGCUUUCUUCGACUUUUCAUGCUCAAACUGACGGUCAAACGGAAUGGGUGAACCAAGUCUUAGAACAAUACUUACGAUACAGCAUCAACUAUCAGCAAGACGAUUGGACCACAUAUCUGCCGCUAGCCGAGUUUGCACAUAACAACACCCUCUAUGCGUCGACUCAAUACACACCAUUCUUUUCCAACUAUGGGUAUCAUCCAAAGCUUGAUUUAUUGAGUCCAUCAACAAAUAACAAUCCAACAGCUGAAGGAUUUGCGAAACAACUAUUAGAGCUUCAAAAUACAUUGAAGCUUCAAUUACAAUCCGCUCAAGAAUCCUUCAAGGCGUCUGCAGAUAGAUUUCAGAAUCAAGCACCUACUUUCAAAAUUGGAGAUAAAGCAUGGCUUCUUCGACGGAAUAUGAAGACCAAGCGACCAUGUGAUAAGUUGGACUAUCGAAGAUUGGAACCAUUUAUCAUCCAAAAGCAAAUCAAUCCAGUGGCGUACCAUCUGAAAUUACCGGCUUCUAUGAAGGUACAUGCAGUCUUUCAUGUUUCUUUGUUAAAGCCUUAUCGAGAGUCAUCUUUUCUUGAAAGAGUGCAAUGUCCACCACCUAAUAUUGAAAUCGAGAACCACGAGGAAUACGAAGUUAAAAAGGUGCUGGAUUCUCGGCGAAGGUGGGGCAAGUUGGAGUAUCUUGUUCAUUGGUGCGGCUACGACAUAAAUGAGCAAACAUGAGAGCCAGCUGAAAAUCUCACCAAUGCGUCGCAAAAGGUACAGGAAUUUCAUCAACAACGUCCUCAUAAACCUAAGCCGGUUUGACAAUAACAUCUUUCUGAACCUUGCUCACCCAAGAAUAUAAGAAAGGGAGAGAGCACCAUCAAAAUUCGUAGUUGAUGUAGUUAUUUUCUCCAAGAUAAAAUAGAAUUUUUUCAGUAGCCAUAGUUUGGUCUUCUGAUAUGGAUAGCCAAGAGAUAGAUACUACGCUAGUCAGAUUAUUUCAACCAACUAGUUCACGAAGGUGACCCCGAGAUGAAGAACCACCUACACCACGACGACCACGGAGGAUACCAAGUAACCGAUCACUGGUGAUUGUAUUUGAGUCCGAGCCUGCUUACGAUGGUCAACCAGAAGGCAUAUUUGCACGACAAUUUUACAAUGAAGACACGGAAGUUCAUGCUUGGUCAGAAGUUGAAGGAGUGGGCCACUACCGUUGGCUUCAAGGGCCGAUGAACCACUUACCUCGUGAACAACAGUUGGAGUUCAUAGCAGACGUUAUGUGACAGAUCUCCAUUUUCUUGCGUUGGUACUGAUUGACAACAACAUUUCUUCUCAGAGACCUCGAAGCUAAAGGAGGAGGUGAUGUUAGGGACAUAGUCCUUAGAACCUUCUAGAGACAAGCUUCUAGAACCUUCUAGAAGCAAGUCUCUGGAACCUUCUAGAAGCUUCUUAGUUGAUAGAAGAUGUUAGGGACAUAGUCCUUAGAACCUUCUAGAGAUAAGUUUCUAAAACCUUCUAGAAGCAAGUCUCAAGAACCUUCUAGAAGCUUCCUAGUUGGUAGAAGUUGCUUGAGAAGCUUCCUAAAUAGGAGUAUAUAUUGGAAUCGAGACUGAAGAGUUCUUCAGUCUCGACAAUACAUCUCUCGGAGCUCUAGCUCACGUCUCUGGUGUUGUUCUUGUAUUUAUCUGAUUAAUCUAGUUCUUGCCAGUUCUUCUUGAACUUUUUGGUAGAUAUCAAGUCUGUAUUCUGUGUCCGUGACAUUAACAACUGCAUAUAAUCCAGAAGGUAAUGGUAAAAGUGAGCGUGGGCAUUCACCUAUUGUUAAGGCAUUACUAAAGGCAUAUAAUGGAAAAGCACAUGAAUGGCCUAGACUACUACCAUUUGCACUAUGGACAGAUCGUACAACUCAUAGUUCGGUAACAGGUUAUAUGCCUUCUGAAUUAGUAUAUGGUCAAAAACCAGUAAUGCCAAUAGAAGAUGUAGUACCUAUAUGGAGUGUAUUUCCUUAGAAGAAUGAUCUCAACAGAGAAGAACUUUUAGCAUUAUGGAUUCAGCAACUAAAAAGAAGACCCAAAGAUGUUGAAAUAGCAAUAAAAAAAUUGAAAGAAGCAAGGGAAAAGAAUAAAGAAAGAUGUGAUAAAAAACAUCGAUUACGACCCAAGGCUAUAGAAGAUGGUGAUUGGGUAUUAGUUUAUGAUAGUAGCUUAGAUAAUUAACAUAGCACUAUGAAGAAGUUUGCAAAGAGAUGGUUUGGACCUUAUAUUGUCAAAAGGGCACACAACAAUGGAACAUAUUCAUUACAAGAACUUGAUGGUACAGAAUUGAAGGUACCUAUAGUAGGUAAACGAAUCAAGUUAUUUAAACAAACGGAUGAAGGCAUUUGUUUUGAUGAAGAACAUUCUACAUCAACAUAUUCAAGAAUUGUUGGCACAUGCCGGAGGAUGCACAGAUUCAAGGGGGGUGGAUGUCGUGCUGUAACACGAUUAAUAGGUGAAAGAGUGUGGAUAUUAUUAUAAUUUAAGAGAUCUUAGUUCAGAGUAUUAGAAAAAAUUAUCUUAGAAAAAUAGUUAAUAGCCAAAGGGGUAGAAAAAUUAAAAGGUACCAAUGCUGCCUUUUAGAAAGGUGACUUCUACUUAUUUUGUAGUACCAUAAGUAAGGCAAAUCAAAGUAUAUUGGAAAAAUAAAUGAUAUAAGAAUCUUUAGAAGAAAUUUAAGAGUAAAUUCUAGAAAAAAGUUACUUAGAAAAACUAGAUAUUGAUACCCGGAGAGGGCCGGUUAUGAACCAGGGUCGAAAUCAGACCCUAAGGCACAAAACCGAGUCUCGACGACGACUCCGGGACUCAUUGGCAAAUCAGAGAGUGGAGUUUGAGAGAAGAUUGGAUAGGGUUUCUAUGGGCAUUGAUUUUGGGUGAUUUGGAGUUGAUAUGAAUUUUUAAGAGCUUUGCAAAUUGAGGUUUUUUCGGAUGAUUUGGGUUUUAUGAAAUAAAAUAGGGUUUAUGUUUUGAGUGAUUUCGAGAGUUUUGUUGCAGAUCUAUAGGUGAAUGUUUUUGGAUUCAUGGUUAUAGUUGUGUUGAAUACAUGUUGUGAAUUUGAACUUGAUCUAAUGGUUGAACUGAGAGAUAUUGAGGUUUAAGUGAGUCAAGGUCUUAGAAAGUAGAAUUUUAGGUCCAGUGAGGGUUUUUUAGAUUUCAUGCAAUCUACUCGUUGGAUUGGAGUAAAAUUUGUGUGAGAGGAUAUUAGACUUGUUUUCCUAUGUCCAUGAGAAAUUUGAAACCAAUCGAAUGGCGCAAAGAAGAGAAAUUGGCAUUGGAAGGUUGGCAACAAGAUUGGAGAAGGAGGCCGGCUAACACCCGAACACAUUUUUGAGGUUUUCGUCAAUUUGGUAACUCCGAUCCUUUUCAAAUUUUUAUUAUUUUUUUUGAACUUGAUUUUUAAAAAGUUUACAAAUUUUGAAUUGAGAUCAACGGAUUAUUCAUUAGAUAUUGAGGUUUAAAUUUGUCAUAGGAAUUACUAGGAUUUGGAUUAGGGUUUGGCUAGGGUUCGGUUUAGGAUUGGAUUAGGGUUUGGACUAGGAUUUGGAUUAGGGUUUGGCUAGGAUUUGUUUUAGGGUUUGGAUUAGAGUUUGGAUUAGGAUUUGGAUUAGGAUUUGGAUUAGGUUUUAGGGUUUGGAUUAGGUUUUAGGAUUUGGUUAGGGUUUGAUUUAGGAUUUGGAUUAAGAUUUGAUUUAGGGUUUAGGAUUUGCAUUAGAGUUUAGAGUUGGAUUAAAGUUUAGGAUUUGGUUAAGGUUUGAUUUAGGGUUUGGAUUAGAAUUUGAUUUAAGGUUUGGUUUAAGGUUUAGGAUUUGUAUUAGACUUUAAGGUUGGAUUAGGAUAUGGAUUAGGGUUUGGAUUAGGGUUUAAGAUUUGAUUAGGAUUUGAUUUAGGAUUUGGAUUAGGGUUUGGUUAGGAUUUGAUUUAAGGUUUGGUUUAGGAUUUAGGAUUGGAUUAGGAUUUGGUUUAGGAUCUGAUUUAGGAGUUGGUUUAGGAUUUAGGAUUUGGAAUAGGGUUUAAUUUAAGAUUUGUUUAGGAUUUGACUUAGGAUUUAGGAAUUAUUAGGAUUUAAGAUUUAAUUAGGUUUGGUCUAAAGUUGAGUGAAAUUCAAUAGGAUUUUAACUAGAAUUAAAUUAAGGUUGAAUUGACAUAUAUUUGAGUAAAAUUUGUGAUCAUUCUAAUAUUUCUUUAAGAAUUUUAUUGUUUGUUUGAAAUUUCUUUGA
rnacentral:lncRNA from 1 species